ensembl:misc_RNA Metazoa_SRP Metazoan signal recognition particle RNA
GCCGGGCAUGGUGGUGGGCGCCUGUAAUCCCAGCUACUCAGGAGGCUGAGGCAGGAGAAUUGCUUGAACCCAGGAGGUGGAGGCUGCAGUGAGCCAAGAUUGAGCCACUGCACUCCAGCCUGGGUGACAGAGCGAGACCCCGUCUCAG